AUGAGGAAAGGAUUAUUCGCCAACAAGGAUGAAUAUCUCUUCUUUGGAGAAGAAAAUAGGCUGAAAAUGUUUCAGCCAAAUACAUUCAAUUUCAAGCCAAAAACCCAUAUCAAGCUUGAUGAAGCUCAAAGAUGCAUAUUAGAUAAUUUCUGGUUCCAAUAUACUCUCAAGGGAGAGGAAAAAGGAUAUUUUUUAUCAAUUCUCAAUAGUUUGGCAGAAUAUUUUAAUGAAUUAAACAAAAAUUUGCCAACGCCAGAAAAGAUUGAAAUACCAAAAGGAGAAACACUAUAUCUUAUAUUUGAUGGAAAUAAACUUGGUAUAUAUUUGGAAUGGGAAAAUAUAAUGAUUGAAAAAUUAGAUGCAAAAAGAAAAGGACAAGAUUUAACAUUCAAAAGAUAUUAUAAUAUAAUGAUGCCUUACUUUGGGCAAGAACAAUAUUAG
rnacentral:rRNA from 1 species